rfam:Pan troglodytes isolate Yerkes chimp pedigree #C0471 (Clint) chromosome 8, whole genome shotgun sequence.
GCUGGGCAUGGUGGCUCAGGCCUGUAAUCCCAGCACUUUGGGAAGCUGAGAUGGGAGAAUCACUUGAGCCCAGGAGUUCAAGACCAGCCUGGGCAAUAUAGUGAGACCUCAUCUCUA